rnacentral:rRNA from 1 species
UACGGAGGGUGCGAGCGUUGUUCGGAAUCACUGGGCGUAAAGCGCGUGUAGGCGGCCCACUAAGUCUGAUGUGAAAGCCCGGGGCUCACCCCCGGAAGUGCAUUGGAAACUGGUGGACUCAAGUCCCGGAGAGGAGAGUGGAAUUCCUGGUGUAGCGGUGAAAUGCGUAGAUAUCAGGAGGAACACCGGUGGCGAAGGCGGCUCUCUGGACGGUGACUGACGCUGAGACGCGAAAGCGUGGGGAGCAAACAGG